rnacentral:rRNA from 1 species
AAAGGAAUAGACGGGGGCCCGCACAAGCGGUGGAGCAUGUGGUUUAAUUCGAAGCAACGCGAAGAACCUUACCAGGGCUUGACAUCUACCUGACGUUGGCUGGAAACGGUCAGCUUCUUUCGGGACAGGUAGACAGGUGGUGCAUGGUUGUCGUCAGCUCGUGUCGUGAGAUGUUGGGUUAAGUCCCGCAACGAGCGCAACCCUUGUUCUUAGUUGCCAUCCCGGCUCUCAACCCAGCGAUUAGGUCUAAUCCCUGGGUUGAGCGCCGGAGGCACUCUAAGGAGACUGCCGGUGACAAACCGGAGGAAGGUGGGGACGACGUCAAAUCCUCAUGCCCCUUAUGUCCUGGGCUACACACGUGCUACAAUGGCCUGAACAACGGGUUGCGAAGGGGUGACCUGGAGCCAAUCCCUCAAAACAGGUCUCAGUUCGGAUUGUAGGCUGCAACUCGCCUACAUGAAGCCGGAAUCGCUAGUAAUCGCGGAUCAGCAUUGCCGCGGUGAAUACGUUCCCGGGCCUUGUACACACCGCCCGU